rnacentral:rRNA from 1 species
UUGCAGAAUUCAGUGAAUCAUCGAAUCUUUGAACGCACCUUGCCGCUCCUUGGUAUUCCGAGGAGCAUGCCUGUUUGAGUGUCAUU